GAUGAACGCUGGCGGCGUGCCUAAUACAUGCAAGUCGAGCGAACAGACGAGGAGCUUGCUCCUCUGACGUUAGCGGCGGACGGGUGAGUAACACGUGGAUAACCUACCUAUAAGACUGGGAUAACUUCGGGAAACCGGAGCUAAUACCGGAUAAUAUAUUGAACCGCAUGGUUCAAUAGUGAAAGACGGUUUUGCUGUCACUUAUAGAUGGAUACGCGCCGCAUUAGCUAGUUGGUAAGGUAACGGCUUACCAAGGCAACGAUGCGUAGCCGACCUGAGAGGGUGAUCGGCCACACUGGAGCUGAGACACGGUCCAGACUCCUGCGGGAGGCAGCAGUAGGGAAUCUUCCGCAAUGGGCGAAAGCCUGACGGAGCAACGCCGCGUGAGUGAUGAAGGUCUUCGGAUCGUAAAACUCUGUUAUUAGGGAAGAACAAAUGUGUAAGUAACUAUGCACGUCUUGACGGUACCUAAUCAGAAAGCCACGGCUAACUACGUG
rnacentral:rRNA from 1 species